rnacentral:lncRNA from 1 species
UAUGAAUGUGUUAUAUAUAUAUAUAUUGUAUUUAAUAAUUUUUUACUUAUUUUUAUUGUGUUGAAUCUUUGUGCUAUUACAUUUGAAUAUUGCACCUUCAACAUUUUAAUAUACACGUGGCUAAUUAUUUUUUUGCAGCAACUCUCCUCAUAUAGGUGAUGAUAAACAAUAAAGAAAAUGCUCCAGUAUUCUCUAAAUUAAUUAUAUUCUCCAGGUAGUAUAACAUAAACUUUUAGUUAUAACAUUACAACAGUAAUAUAUUUUUUGUACCUUAAUUAAUAGUAUUCAUACUUUGCUGUGUAGAUUUAUUAAGAUAUUAUAGUCAGGUACACCGUAUAUGUGGCUUGGAGAAGUUAACUAAACAGUAAAUUCAUAGGAUUAAGAUAACACAACUACUCAACUUUGAAGAUAUAAAAAUUUAGUAAGGUUAUGAUUAAAUGUGAAUGAAACUAUCUAAUUAAGCAAUGACAGGACUUGGAGAUGAUUAGAAAAUAUUUUACAUAGGUAACUUAAAAGGUAAUCUAAGUUCAACAGAAAUUAAAAUCUGAGCACUUGCAACAAAGGUAGACCGCUUAAACAGGUAUUGUUGUCUUGUUUAUGAAGGUGUUAGAGCGAGUCCAACAAUGUCCUAAAUUGAUGUCCCAAGUUAAAAUAUAAGGCAAUUGGAUGAAAUGUGAGCUCCAACAAUGUUCUAGUGGUGCCUUAAACCACUAGGACAUCCAACAAGUGCCUCAUUUUUGGGGCACUUCUAAGCAUGUCCUAAACUAAUUUUCUCAUUAAAAUAUUAACUACCCACCAUCUCAAUGCACCUCUCUCCUCUUACUUUUUCACUUCCCUCCAAUUCUAAUUCAAAUAAAUUAUUAGUUUAAUAAUAAGGGCACACAUAUAAGGCAUGUUUGUUGGAGUUCAUGUAUCAAAAAGAUAUUAAUUAACUUCAGCCUACCUUAUUUCUGGGUUGCAUCAAUGCAUAUACACCUGACCUUGUUGCCGUUUUUUGACUUCCACAAGCUUAGACUAUUAAUAUUAUCCUGCUUCAUUCUUAUCUAGCUGUAUAUAUAUAUUAUGGUUUAACUUUCCCAUGCACGUACAUCUGUUAUUUUAAUCCUGCUAGCUGUAUUUGACUAGAUUGCUGCUUGCUUCCAUUUAUAUCCCAGAAGACCUGGAAUCUAUUGUGCUGCAUUUACCUCUGCUGCAUGCUUACUAUUCAAACCAAUUUGUUAUAAUUAAUAUAUUGCUAGCUGGAGAGUUUGAAAUUCUAACAAUAUUUUUCUGUACAGGAGGUAAUGUGGAUAUGAAAGUGAAAUCCAGUGCAGAGAACAACUUUGUAACAACUGUUGCUGAAAUACCCAAAAAAGGUGAUUUUCAGCCUACUAUACCUAGCAAGGAACCUGGGAAACAUGUGUAUAAGAGAAGUAAAGUUCAUCAGCAGAGUGGUGUGCAAGUCAAAACUCUUGACAGUGAAUGACACUAUCAAGGUAUGUGCUGGAACUUAUUUCAUAUUAGAUACAUGCAAGUAAUUAUUUAGCUGAAGACCAUUCUUUGCAUGUGAUUUUUUAUGCGCUUUUUAAUUGCUGGAAGAUGUUGAGGAAAAAUAUAUCUGUAACUACUAUAAUAGUCUAUAUUUGGUCCAGUUUAUUUUGUGGCAGUUAGAUUAACCAUUAUCAAUAAUUCAUUUCAUGAUUUUCAGCUUUUCUAUUUUUAUUUUACGGCUAUGAAAAUUCUACUACUGCUAUUGUAUUGGUAACAGAAAGUUUUGUUAUUUUUUGAAGUAGUUCUGUCUGUAAACAGACAAGAUGAUUCCGAAACUCCUCCAUUUAAUCAAGAGAAUGCAAUGGAGUCCGCUCCACUUCAGAAAAAGGAUGGUCCGGGUAAGCUCAUUGUUUGAACUAUAAUUGUGAUAUUAUGAUCUGGAAUCUUGUUAUGUUAUCCAUGAAAUUUACCUGUUAAAAAUCUCAAUCAACAUGCUGCAUCAAUUGAUAUAGGUGGUGGAGUUGGAACCCCUGCCAUUGUAGGCAUUGAUGCUAUGGAGAACGAACAGAGUUUGCCAUUUGUUAAGAAUCACCUACUUUGUGAAGAUAUCCAUUCUAUGGAAACCUAUAAGUAAAAUGACACAGAAGCCACACUUCGCCCCACUGUACGNNNNNNNNNNNNNNNNNNNNNNNNNNNNNNNNNNNNNNNNNNNNNNNNNNNNNNNNNNNNNNNNNNNNNNNNNNNNNNNNNNNNNNNNNNNNNNNNNNNNNNNNNNNUUUUUUUUUUUUUUUUUUUUUUUCUGGUUUUCAAACUCAGUACUAUAUAUUGAACACAAGCAAAAUGAUGUGGGUAACAUUAAUGAGUGGUGAUGGAUGUAGAUGGUAUUUUUGAAUGAGUGGUUAUUAGGAUUAGAUCUCAUAUCUCAUGUUACUAUUGCUUUUCAUUGGAGAAGUCUCUCAAACUUUCUCUCUCUCUCUUUCUAUAUAUAUAGGCCACACAUAAAAUAAGAUGGUUUGUAGUGGAAGAAGACUGUAUAUAUAUAUACAUACAUAUAUAUAUAUAUAUAUAUGGGUAUAUGAGUAAAGUUCAAUGGAGACCAUUUUAUUGGAGACGGUGGAGACCACUUAUUAUGUUCUGCAAUCAAAACACUAUAAAAUACAUUAUUUUGUGAAGUAUGUUUAACAAAUAUCAUGUAUUCAUUAAAAUUGUUGAAGAUCAUCUAUGUUUCAUAAGUAUAUAAUGUAUGUUCUGCAAACUAAAUAUAUUUCGUAGAAUAUAACAUUUUGUAAUGUUUUACAUGCGAAACUUAUAUGAUAUUCAAGAUUUUAAAGUGAAAUAAUGAUUUUGUACAACAUGAUGUGCAAAACUAUACGUUUUGCAAUGUUUUUAUGCAAUAUUUCACUGGUAGAACAUAAGUGGUCUCCACGGUUUCCAAUAAAAUGGUCUACAUAGAACUUUACUCUGGGGAUAGAUAUAUGGAUGGAUUGAUGGAUUGCCCAAGUACAAACCAAUAUUAAAGUGAAAAUUACAUAUAUAAUGAUCCCCAGAAGUCACCAUCAUGUCUUAAGAAAUCACACAUAAUCCCCCGUGUUUCAAAUUUGAUCUUUCCCUCAAUCAGUGAUUUCUUAUUUUUGAAAUAUGACUUUAUUCUAUUUUUUUCUUCUCCCAACAUUUAAUGUGCAUACCAUAUGUGAUAUAUUUGGAUAUGAUGUAGAAUUUAUUUUUUAUUUAACUUUUAGUUUUUAAUUUUAUGAAGGUUCAUAGUUAAGUAUUACAAACACACACACACAUAUAUACUUUAAUUUAAUUAGUAAUAGACUUUUUUUAUGUAAUGAACAUUAUGUAUUAGUAAUUAUUGAGAAACUUGUUAUUAUAUUUAAUAAGAACUUAAUUUUUAAAAUUAAAUUUUUCUUAAAUUGAAUAUAUUAUAAUUUAAAUGAUAAACUUUCUACAAUAUAAUUUAUUUGUAUCUCAAAAAUAGUAACAUAAUAUUAGUAACCACAACUAACUUAACCUAUAAGGUUAUCUUUAAUUUUUAAAAAAUUAAUUAUUCAUCAUGAACAAAUUUUUUUAUUUUUCUCUAUUUAAUCAAAAUUAAUCUAGAAGUGUUUGUAUACUUUGACACUUAUAUAAAAUAGGUGGUUUAUAAAGCAAAAAAAUUGCUAGUUGUUUGCUUCAACACUUAAUUAAUCUAAUUGGACAUUAUUAAGGGUUUUAUUCCAAAAAGAUAUAACUAAGAACAAACUUUUUUGCCACUAGGCCCAACCCAUCAUGUGAGGAACUUAUAUUAGUAUCUGGUUUGUGCAUAGUAAAACCCUAAUCUAAGUAGCAGCCCGCCUCCCCACAUCCCUUCUCAUCAUCUUGGUUCCAUCUCACCCUAAUCAAGGUAUCACUGAGUCCUCUCCCGAUCUCUUUGUUGAACCCUCUCUGGAUCUCUUCUGAUCUCAUUGGUUACUCCAGAUCUCUUUGGUGAGCCCUAUGUGGAUGUGGAUCUCUUCUGAUCUCAUGGGUGGUGGUAAACAUGUCUGUUAGUGGUUUUUCAUUUCAGUAGCUAGAUUUGACCUUUGGUGUAUCUUUUGCUUAAUGAUUGUAUAUUUAGGCUAAACAUAUAUGAUGAAUUUGUUGUGAUCUCUAUUCCUCAUAUAUUUCAUAUAAGACCUUCAUUUAAUUGAAUUUUAAUUUUAAUAUAUUAUAUUCAUAAAUUGAUGAAUUUAUUAUGAAAUAUUUGUUAGACUUUUAUUUAAAUGAAAAAAAUACUAAAAGAAUAUGAAUAAUGAUUCUUUGCAUCAUUAUACACUAUCCAAAACUGCAAUAGUAGUGAAAACUUUUUAUUUUUAUGUCCACUAUGCAAGCAAAAUAGAUCACAUAAGUGAAUAAGGAGUCUAUGAAUGUGUUAUAUAUAUAGUGUAUUUAAUAAUUUUUCACUUAUUUUUAUUGUGUUGAAUUUUUGUGCUAUUACAUUUGAAUAUUGCACCUUCAACAUUUUAAUAUACACGUGGCUAAUUAUUUUUUUGCAGCAACUCUCCUCAUAUAGGUGAUGAUAAACAAUGAAGAAAAUGCUCCAGUAUUCUCUAAAUUAAUUAUAUUCUCCAGGUAGUAUAACAUAAACUUUUUGUUAUAACAUUACAACAGUAAUAUAUUUUUUGUACCUUAAUUAAUAGUAUUCAUACUUUGUUGUGUAGAUUUAUUAAGAUAUUAUAGUUAGGUACACCGUACAUGUGGCUUGGAGAAGUUAACUAAACAGUAAAUUCAUAGGAUUAAGAUAACACAACUACUCAACUUUGAAGAUAUAAAAAUUUAGUAAGUUUAUAAUUAAAUUUGAAUGAAACUAUCUAAUUAAGCAAUUACAGGACUUGGAGAUGAUUAGAAAAUAUUUUACAUAGGUAAUUUAAAAGGUAAUCUAAGUUCAACCCAAAUUAAAAUCUGAGCACUUGCAACAAAGCUAGACGGCUUAAACAGGUAUUGUUGUCUUGUUUUUGAAGGUGUUACGGAAUGAGACUAUCCUGAUAGAUCGGGAUUUGAAGCCUGAAUCCAGAGAAAUUUUAUCAAAAGAAAAUGCUCCUAAUUGCAUUUUAAGAUUCGAGCUCACUUACCGAGAAUCUUCUCUUAAACAUUCACUUCUUUCCUGAACUAGGUUUUGAGGUUUAAACCAUGUUAAGACAUAAUAUAAGAGGUGCAAAUUAUGUUUCUUCUUUCCACCUUUUCAGUGAUCUUCUUUAGCGGAAAAAUAUUGUUCUUAGUAUGUCAUAUAAUUAAAAAGGAAUUUUUAACGCAGUGACUUACUUUUUAUUAGAAAUUGUUCUUUAGUUUUGUCUUCUAGGUACAUUUAAGUUUUAACCCCAGGUUGAACUUGGUAGUAACGUGUUAUAAUGUACUACCCUUUGGUAGAAGAUGAUGUCUUUAUUUCUUAUCGUAUAGAUAGUUGUGCUUUCUGUUUAACUCUAAGACUUUUAUUUAAAUGAAAAAAAUACUAAAAGAAUAUGAAUAAUGAUUCUUUGCAUCAUUAUACACUAUCCAAAACUGCAAUAGUAGUGAAAACUUUUUAUUUUUAUGUCCACUAUGCAAGCAAAAUAGAUCACAUAAGUGAAUAAGGAGUCUAUGAAUGUGUUAUAUAUAUAGUGUAUUUAAUAAUUUUUCACUUAUUUUUAUUGUGUUGAAUUUUUGUGCUAUUACAUUUGAAUAUUGCACCUUCAACAUUUUAAUAUACACGUGGCUAAUUAUUUUUUUGCAGCAACUCUCCUCAUAUAGGUGAUGAUAAACAAUGAAGAAAAUGCUCCAGUAUUCUCUAAAUUAAUUAUAUUCUCCAGGUAGUAUAACAUAAACUUUUUGUUAUAACAUUACAACAGUAAUAUAUUUUUUGUACCUUAAUUAAUAGUAUUCAUACUUUGUUGUGUAGAUUUAUUAAGAUAUUAUAGUUAGGUACACCGUACAUGUGGCUUGGAGAAGUUAACUAAACAGUAAAUUCAUAGGAUUAAGAUAACACAACUACUCAACUUUGAAGAUAUAAAAAUUUAGUAAGUUUAUAAUUAAAUUUGAAUGAAACUAUCUAAUUAAGCAAUUACAGGACUUGGAGAUGAUUAGAAAAUAUUUUACAUAGGUAAUUUAAAAGGUAAUCUAAGUUCAACCCAAAUUAAAAUCUGAGCACUUGCAACAAAGCUAGACGGCUUAAACAGGUAUUGUUGUCUUGUUUUUGAAGGUGUUACGGAAUGAGACUAUCCUGAUAGAUCGGGAUUUGAAGCCUGAAUCCAGAGAAAUUUUAUCAAAAGAAAAUGCUCCUAAUUGCAUUUUAAGAUUCGAGCUCACUUACCGAGAAUCUUCUCUUAAACAUUCACUUCUUUCCUGAACUAGGUUUUGAGGUUUAAACCAUGUUAAGACAUAAUAUAAGAGGUGCAAAUUAUGUUUCUUCUUUCCACCUUUUCAGUGAUCUUCUUUAGCGGAAAAAUAUUGUUCUUAGUAUGUCAUAUAAUUAAAAAGGAAUUUUUAACGCAGUGACUUACUUUUUAUUAGAAAUUGUUCUUUAGUUUUGUCUUCUAGGUACAUUUAAGUUUUAACCCCAGGUUGAACUUGGUAGUAACGUGUUAUAAUGUACUACCCUUUGGUAGAAGAUGAUGUCUUUAUUUCUUAUCGUAUAGAUAGUUGUGCUUUCUGUUUAACUCUAGACUGUAUGUAAAAUUUACUUUUGGGGUCAUGUCUAGUUUAUGUGUACUCGUACGAUACAUUUUUUGGGUAGAUUGCAAAACCCUGAAGCACAAACCAAUUAUAAGCAUCACUGUUAUAGUAGCAACUGAAGGAUACAACUAAUAUUGUUAGAAGGAAAAGGGGAAGACCAAAGUAAGAAGUCCAAGAAACAGAUAGGUAGGGCUGUUCACGAACCGAGCCGAGCCGAGUUUUGACCGAGUCGAGCCGAGCUUUAAAUUUUUUCUUAUCGAACCGAGCCGAGUCGAGCUUUCUUAUCGAACAAAAAAGUGUGUUCGAGCUCGAGCUCGAUAACUAACGAGCCGAACACGAGCUUGUUCACGAACAAAUACGAGCCGAGUCGAGUCGAGUCGAGCCGAGCCGAGCUAGAGAAAAAUAAGGCCAAACCGCUACUUUACUCUUAAAAUAGCAAGCCAAAUAAAAUUUUUAGUAUGUUUUGAUGGUACCAUAUUAUAGUUGAUAUUCUCAUGAUCGAUUUGAUAUAUUAUAUGUUGAAUUCGGCGUUCAAUAACAUAUAUAUAUUACGAAAUUAUUAUGAAAAUAUUCUUUUUUUUCGAGCUUUAACGAGCCGAGCUCGAGCCGAACGAGUUCGAGCCGAGCUCGAGCCGAACAUACUAAAAGCUCGGCUCGAGCUCGUUUUCUUAACGAACAAUUUUUUGUGUUCGAGCUCGAGCUCGUUAACUUAACGAGCCGAGCCGAACGAGCUCUUAACGAGCCGAGCUCGAGCUUGUUCGCGAACAACUCGGUUCGUUAAACAGCUCUACAGAUAGGUUCGGUGAAAGAUAUUCUACCAGCACACACACAUAUAGAAUUAAAGAUAUUUUAGACGAAAUAUUUGUUGGAAACUAAUAUGUGUUUACUGUAUGGUGGGAAAUAUAAAACAGAAAUCUAAACACAAGCACACUAUUAUAUAUAUAUGAAAUAAGGUUAUGGCUUAAUUUUGCCUUACACAGAGUACUUAGGCUACAGCCUUUCUUGUUUCACAAACACAGAGCUUCUUCUUAGGCUACAGCCUUUCUUGUUUCACAAACACAGAGCUUCUGCUCUCUUUUUCUAUCUUGUUACAACAAGCUACUUGCGUCUAUUUAACGUACAUGCAUGAGGUUGUAUUUAUAGGAUACAAUACACACAGCUGACCUAAUUCCUUACAUCAACAUAAUAAACACCCUGCAGAUCCAAGAAAGAUAUUAACUUCAGCCUACCUUAUUUCUGGGUUGCAUCAAUGCAUAUACACCUGACCUUGUUGCCGUUUUUUGACUUCCACAAGCUUAGACUAUUAAUAUUAUCCUGCUUCAUUCUUAUCUAGCUGUAUAUAUAUAUUAUGGUUUAACUUUCCCAUGCAUGUACAUCUGUUAUUUUAAUCCUGCUAGCUGUAUUUGACUAGAUUGCUGCUUGCUUCCAUUUAUAUCCCAGAAGACCUGGAAUCUAUUGUGCUGCAUUUACCUCUGCUGCAUGCUUACUAUUCAAACCAAUUUGUUAUAAUUAAUGUAUUGCUAGCUGGAGAGUUUGAAAUUCUAACAAUAUUUUUCUGUACGUAGGUAAGAGAAGCACAGGAGGUAAUGUGGAUAUGAAAGUGAAAUCCAGUGCAGAGAACAACUUUGUAACAACUGUUGUUGAAAUACCCAAAAAAGGUGAUUUUCAGCCUACUAUACCUAGCAAGGAACCUGGGAAACAUGUGUAUAAGAGAAGUAAAGUUCAUCAGCAGAAUGGUGUGCAAGUCAAAAUUCUUGACAGUGAAUGACACUAUCAAGGUAUGUGCUGGAACUUAUUUCAUAUUAGAUACAUGCAAGUAAUUAUUUAGCUGAAGACCAUUCUUUGCAUGUGAUUUUUUAUGCGCUUUUUAAUUGCUGGAAGAUGUUGAGGAAAAAUAUAUCUGUAACUACUAUAAUAGUCUAUUUGGUCCAGUUUAUUUUGUGGCAGUUAGAUUAACCAUUAUCAAUAAUUCAUUUCAUGAUUUUCAGCUUUUCUAUUUGUAUUUUACGGCUAUGAAAAUUCUACUACUGCUAUUGUAUUGGUAACAGAAAGUUUUGUUAUUUUUUGAAGUAGUUCUGUCUGUAAACAGACAAGAUGAUCCCGAAACUCCUCCAUUUAAUCAAGAGAAUGCAAUGGAGUCCGCUCCACUUCAGAAAAAGGAUGGUCCGGGUAAGCUCAUUGACUGAACUAUAAUUGUGAUAUUAUGAUCUGGAAUCUUGUUAUGUUAUCCAUGAAAUUUACCUGUUAAAAAUCUCAAUCAACAUGCUGCAUCAAUUGAUAUAGGUGGUGGAGUUGGAACCCCUGCCAUUGUAGGCAUUGAUGCUAUGGAGAACGAACAGAGUUUGCCAUUUGUUAAGAAUCCUCUACUUUGGGAAGAUAUCCAUUCUAUGGAAACCUAUAAGAAAAUGACACAGAAGCCACACUUCGCUCCACUGUACGAACAUAUAGAAGAAGAACGUGAAGGCUUGGCAGUAGUGUUGGAAACGUGAUGGGUUUAGGCUUUAUCAACUUUGUAAAUUCAAAAUACACACGCCUGUAUAAUAAAACAAACAACAGAAAUUUUAUUUCAUAAACUCAAAGCUACAGCUUGAUUAGAACUUCGGCUCUUUAAUUUGUUUUCUUUUUCUGGUUUUCAAACUCAGUACUAUAUAUUGAACACAAGCCACAAGCAGAACCUCUAUUUAUAGGCCACACAUACAUGCUAACUUAUCUCAUUCCUUACAUCAUUACCCAGCUGUAUAAAUUAAUGUAGCCACCUUAAUUCACGGGGACAGCAACUCUUCUUCAUUCCAUCUACGCGGUUUUAUUAAUACAAAUCUGACUUGCAUGUUGACAACCCACAAAUUAAACAAGCUGCUGCAUCACCAUCUUAUCACCUGCUUCUAACCUUUCCAGAUUAUUGCUUUCCCCGUAUAUUCUUUUACACACACGUCUUUGACUUUCUCCUUGCAUGCAUGCAGAUAAUAUAGCAUUUAUACAGCCCACCAUAUUUUCAGGAUGUUGUAGCUGUUUCAUUUACUUUCUUGAGAGAGUUUAAUUUCUAACACUCCCCCUCAAACUCGACUUUCCAUCCCGAGCUUCUUUUUCACUUUAUGAAAUACAUCCGGCUUCAAUGGCUUCGUAAAAAUAUUUGCUAAAUUUUCUUCCGUCAUGCAGUGCACUAACUCCAUAAUUUUUUCGUUCACUUGUUCACGAAGAAAAUGAUAUUUAAUAUUGAUGUGCUUGCUUCGACUGUGUGACACCAGAUUUUUCGAUAGUACAGUGAAAUAGCAGAUUUAUUAUCCACGUAAAUUGUAACAGGUUCUUCCUUGACAAGAUUUAACUCGCCCAAAAUAUAGCCUAGCCACAUAGCUUGGCACGCGCAUGCUGCUGCUGCGAUGUAUUCCGCCUCACAUGUUGAGAGAGCGACUGUCAGUUGCUUCUUUGAUGACCAUGAGAUCGCCGAGCCAAUAUGAAAAGCAUAUUUUGAUGUGCUUUUUUCGUCAUCCAAGUCUCCACCAUAAUCACUGUUUGAGUAGCCAACUAAUUUUGAAUCUUGAGAUUGCGUGUAAAACAAACCAUUAUUAAGUGUACCUUUAAUAUAUCUCAAAAUUCUUUUAGCCGCCAUGAAAUGAUCUUGCUUCGGCUUCUCUUUGUACCUACUAACCAGUCCAACCGCAUACAUGAUAUCUGGACGAGUAAAAGUUAGGUAUCUCAAACUUCCAACCAAACUUUUGAACAAUGUCGGAUUUACCGACUCCCUGGUUGAAUCAAUUCUGAGCUUUAUGCUUGCUUCUGCUGGCGUGCUCUCUGGCUUGCAUUCUUCCAUUCUGAAUUUCUUUAAAAUCUGCUCCGCAUAUUUUUUCUGAGACAUAAAAAUUCCAUCUUUGCUUUGCUUCACCUCGACUCCAAAAAAGUAUGACAUUUGUCCAAUAUCUGUCAUCUCAAAUUCGCUAGUCAUAACUUUCUUAAAAUCAUCAAACAUACCAGGGUUGUUUCCGAUAAAUAUCAUGUCGUCCACAUAUAAGCAAACGAUCAUAAUAUCUCCCCCUGAAAUAGUUUUCGUGUAGAGAGCAUGCUCGUAUGGACUCUUCACAAAACCAUUCUUCUGAAAAUACUCAUCAACCCUUGUGUUCUAUGCUCUCGGUGCCUGUUUUAGGCCGUACAAUGCCUUCUUUAGCCGGUAGACUUUAUCUUCCGCGCCUUUCUGAACAUACCCUAGAGGUUGCUCGAUGUAAACUUCUUCUUUGAGAUAACCAUUUAAAAAUGUAGUGAAUCCAUUUGAAAAAUCUUCCAUUCAUUUUGAGCGGCAAUUGUUGUAAGAAGUCUGAUGGUGUCAACUCGUGCAACUGGAGCAAACACCGCAUAAUAGUAAAUGCCAUAUUGCUGCUUGUAGCCUUUAGCCACUAGCCUCGCCUUGUAUUUUUCUACUUCUCCAACCUGAUUCGUCUUGGUCUUGUAGACCCAUUUGACACCAAUUGCUUUGUGUCCUUCUGGAAGAUCUGUGAGCUCCCAAGUAUCAUUCUUCUUGAUUGCACCAAAUUCUUCGUCCAUGGCUUUGUUCCAUAUGCUUUCUUCAGAAGCUUCCUCAAAUGUAACUGGAUCACAUUCAGCCAUCAGACAAAAUAAGGAAUAAUCAAAGGUUGUUCGUACCGGACUCGUUGCUUCAUAGAUAUUAUCCAGACUCCGCAUUUUUCUUGGUGCUCCCCCUGAACUUCUGCUUCCACUUGAAUCCGAUGGUGUUGAUGCGGGAGUUUGUUGACUCGGACUUUGUGGAGGAGUUUGAUCAUCAUCAUCGUCACCUUCUAUGUUGGGGUCGUCAUUGCCAUCACCAUCAUCAUUGAAAAAUAACCCAGCAACUUUUCUUUACUCCUCGCUCCAUUUUAAUAAUUUGAUUCAUCGAACUCAACAUCUCGAGAAAUUAUUAAUUUCUUCGUGAGGGAAUUAUAGAGCCUGUACGCCUUGCUCCUUUUCUCAUAUCCGGUAAAUAUGGACUUCUCGCCUUUAUCAUCCAACUUCUUUCUUUUCUGUUCAGGAACAUGGGCAUAUGCAAUACACCCAAAAAUUCUGAGAUGUCCCACAGAUGGUUUGCUUCCACUCCAUGCUUCAUUUGGAGUUUUGUUUCUGACACUUUUUGUUGGACAGCGAUUCAACAAAUAAACUGCACAUAAAACAGCUUCAGCCCAAAAAGUUCUCGGAAAGUGCUUUGCUUUCACCAUGCUCCUUGCCAUGUCAAAAAUAGUGCGAUUCUUUCUUUCUGCAACACCAUUUUGUUGAGGAGUAUAGGCUGUUGUCAACUAAUGACUGAUUCAAUGUGCUCUGCAAAAAUUCUGAACAGAUUAGAAGUAUACUCGCCUCCUCUGUCUGAUCUGAGUACCUUCAAAUGAUGACCACUUUGCUUUUUUGCUAGUGCUUUGAACUCCUUGAAUUUAUCAAGAGCCUCCGACUUUUCUUUGAUGAUAUACACCCAACUUUUCAUGCUAAAAUCAUCAAUAAAUGUUAGGUAAUACCUAUUACCUCCAAGUGAUGAGAUAUCAAAUGGACCAGCAACAUCUGUGUGAACUAUCUCCAAUGGCCUCCUGGCUCUCCAUGAUUUUCCAACCGGAAAACUUUGCCGAUGUUGCUUCCCUUUUACACACGCUUCACAAAAAUUUUCUAGUUUGUUGAUUUCUGGCAAACCGACCACCAUUUUUGUCUUUGACAAUAAUUUCAAGCCAGAAAAUCCAAGAUGACCAUAUCUCAAAUGCCACAAUCAUGACAUUUUUAAUGAUUGACUUUAAGCACUUUUGCACCUUCGUUGUCAUAUCAAGCGUAAACAAACGAUUCUUUGACAUCUCCACAUUUGCAAUCAAUUCCCGAGCUUGAUUUCUGAUAAUCAGGGAAUUGUCCUGCAUAUGUAUAUUAUAUCCUUUCUCCACAAGUUGGCCAAGAGUAAUAAUAUUAUUUUUCAAAGCAGGAAUAUAAUAAACAUCAUUUAUAUAUUUCUUUUCGCCUUUCUCCGACAUGAUCGUGACGGUACCUUUUCCUUUGACCGGAAUCUUUGACGAGUCACCAAAAGUAACUUCUCCAGUGAUGGAGUCAUCUAUCUCCGUGAAUAACUCCUUGUGACCAGUCAUGUGAUUACUGGCCCCUGAGUCAAGAUACCAAACAUUCUUCUUGCUUUCCUCGUCUCCUUUGUAAGUGAGGAACAUAGCAGUGCCAACAUCUUUGUCUUCUUUUGCUGCUGCAAAAUGACUUCUUUCUUUCACCUUCGGUGUUCUACACUCAUAACUGAAAUGGCCAUAUUUAUUACAGUUAUAGCACUGAUAUUGACACUUAUCACCUCGUUGUUGAUAUCCGCCUCUUCCUCGGCCCCUGAAAUUUUGACCACGACCAGAUCACUGAUACCCUUCCGAAUUCUGGCCUCUAUUGGAGGACUGCCUUCCUCGUCCUCAUCCACCACCACGGUAGCCACCUCUAAAGCCACCUCUUCCACGUGCAGAACUACUACUGCUAGAACUGUCACCAAUGGACACCUAACUUUGCAACGCCUUUUCCAAAUGGCUUGCAUCAUCAUACUGGUUCAUUCGCUGCUCGUGGGCUUAAAGAGAACCUAUGAGCUCAUCAGUCGAAAUUGUGGACAGGUCUUUUGAUGACUCCUCGAUAGAAGUAACAACAUAAUCAAAUUUUCUUGUUAAUGAACGGAGCAAUUUUUCCAUGACCCGAACAUCAUCGAGACUUUCUCCAUUUCCAUUCAUCUCAUUUUUCACCGUUUUCAAACGCGUAACAAAUUCAUCAAUAUUUUCGGAACUCUUCAUCUUCAAAUUUUCGAACUCCCCACAUAGAACUUGGAGCCGAACCUUCUUGACUUUCUCGACACCCUGGAAUGAUUUCUGCAGAAUCUCCCACGCGUCUUUCGCCGUUUUUGCAUUUGAAAUUUUUUCAAAGGUUGAUUCAUCAACUCCUUGAAUAAUUGUAUAUAACGCCCUUUUGUCUUUUUUCUUGGGAUCUUUUAACGCUGUUUUCUCCGCAUCAGAAAAAAUGGCUUCAUCCUCGGGCUCGUCAUACCCAAUUUUGAUGAUAUUAAAAUAGUGAUUUGUGUUACAAAAAUUAGUGAUUCCUUCUAAUAAGUUAGAGAUUUGUAUCUAGUGUUUCUGAUGAUUGGAGAUAGCUCGAAUAUGUUAAUAAUCUAAUUGUAAUGUGAGAUGAAUGGAAAGUGACGAUGUAUAGGAUGUCAUCGCACCUUGAAGAUGAAGAAGAUGAACUAUUUAUUUGUUUUGUGUGUAUAGGAUGUGUAUAUUAGGGUGUAAUUAGAAAAGGUGGGCGGCUGUUCAAAAAUUAGUGGGCUGGGUUGUAAUUUGUUUGGGUUGGGCUGCAGUUUGUAGUUUGUAGAAUAAGAUGGUUUGUAGUGCUACAAGACUAUAUAUAUAUAUAUAUAUAUAUAUAUAUAUAUAUAUAUAUAUAUAUAUAUAUAUAUAUANAUAUAUAUAUAUGGGUGGAUUGAUGGAUUGCACAAGUACAAACCAAUAUUAAAGUUAAAAUUACAUAUAUAAUAAUCCCUAGAAGUCACCAUCAUGUCUUAAGAAAUCACACAUAAUCCCCCUGUUUCAAAUUUGAUCUUUCCCUCAAUCAGUGAUUUUUUAUUUUUGAAAUAUGACUCUAUUCUAUUUUUUUCUUCUCCCAACCUUUAAUGUGCAUACCAUAUGUGCUAUAUUUGGAUAUGAUUUAGAAUUUUUUUUAUUUAACUUUUAGUUUUUUAUUUUAUGAAGGUUUAUUAUAGUUAAGUAUUACAAACACACACACACACAUACACUUUAAUUUAAUUAGUAAAAGACUUUUUUUAUGUAAUGAACAUUAUGUAUUAGUAAUUAUUGAGAAACUUGUUAUUAUAUUUUAUAAGAACUUAAUUUUUAAAAUUAAAUUUUUCGUAAAUUGAAUAUAUUAUAAUUUAAAUGAUAAACUUUCUACAAUAUAAUUUAUUUGUAUCUCAAAAAUAGAAACAUAAUAUUUGUAACCACAAAUAACUUAACCUAUAAGGUCAUCUUUAAUUUUUAAAAAAUUAAUUAUUCAUAAUGAACAACUAUUUUUAUUUUUCUCUAUUUAAUCAAAAUUAAUCUAGAAGUGUUUGUGUACUUUGACACUCAUAUAAAAUAGGGGGUUUAUAAAGCAAAAAAAUUGCUAGUUGUUUGCAUCAACACUUAAUUAAUCUAAUUGGACAUUAUUAAAGGUUUUAUUCUAAAAAGAUAUAACUAAGUACAAACUUUUUUGCCACUAGGCCCAACCCAUCAUGCGAGGAACUUAUAAUUACCUAGAACACAUUAGUAUCCGGUUUGAGCAUAGUAAAACCCUAAUCUAAGUAGCAGCCCGCCUCUCCACAUCCCCCCCCUAAUCUAAGUAGCAGCCCGCCUCUCCACAUCCCUUCCCAUCAUCUUGGUUCCAUCUCACCCUAUUCUAGGUAUCACUGAGUCCUCUCCAGAUCUCUUUGUUGAGCCCUCUCUGGUGCUGAGCCCUCUUUGGAUCUCUUCUGAUCUCAUGGAUUACUCCAGAUCUCUUUGGUAAGCCCUCUGUGGAUGUGGAUCUCUUCUGAUCUCAUGGGUGGCACGCUUGGUAAACAUGUCUGUUAGUGGUUUUUCAUUUCGGUAGCUAGAUUUGACCUUUGGUGCAUCUUUUGCUUAAUGAUUGUAUAUUUAGGCUAUACAUAUAUGAUGAAUUUUUGUGAUCUCUAUUCCUCAUAUAUUUCAUAUAAGACCUUCAAUUUAUUGAAUUUUGAUUUUAAUGUAUUGUAUUCAUAAAUUGAUGAAUUUAUUAUGAAAUAUUUGUUUGAUUCUCAUUUAAAUGAAAAAAAUCAGUAAAAGAAUAUGAAUAAUGAUUCUUUGCAUCAUUAUACACUAUCCAAAACUGCAAUAGUUGUGAAAACUUUUUAUUUUUAUGUCCACUAUGCAAGCAAAAUAGAUCACAUAAGUGAAUAAGUAGUCUAUGAAUGUGUUAUAUAUAUAGUGUAUUUAAUAAUUUUUCACUUAUUUUUAUUGUGUUGAAUCUUUGUGCUAUUACAUUUGAAUAUUGCACCUUCAACAUUUUAAUAUACACGUGGCUAAUUAUUUUUUUGCAGCAACUCUCCUCAUAUAGGUGAUGAUAAACAAUGAAGAAAAUGCUCCAGUAUUCUCUAAAUUAAUUAUAUUCUCCAGGUAGUAUAACAUAAACUUUUAGUUAUAACAUUACAACAGUAAUAUAUUUUUCGUACCUUAAUUAAUAGUAUUCAUACUUUGUUGUGUAGAUUUAUUAAGAUAUUAUAGUUAGGUACACCGUAUAUGUGGCUCGGAGAAGUUAACUAAACAGUAAAUAUAUAGGAUUAAGAUAACACAACUACUCAACUUUGAAGAUAUAAAAGUUUAGUAAGGUUAUAAUUAAAUCUGAAUGAAACUAUCUAAUUAAGCAAUGACAGGACUUGGAGAUGAUUAGAAAAUAUUUUACAUAGGUAAUUCAAAAGGUAAUCUAAGUUCGAACAUAAAUUAAAAUCUGAGCACUUGCAACAAAGCUAGACAGCUUAAACAGGUAUUGUUGUCUUGUUUAUGAAGGUGUUACGGAAUGAGACUAUCCUGAUAGAUCAGGAUUUGAAGCCUGAAUCCUGAAAAAUUUUAUCAAAAGAAAAUGCUCCUAGUUGCAUUUUAAGAUUCGAGCUCACUUACGGAGAAUCUUCUCUUAAACAUUCACUUCUUUCCUGAACUAGGUUUUGAGGUUUAAACCAUGCAGUUAAGACAUAAUAUAAGAGGUGCGAAUGAAGUUUCUUCAUGCCACCUGUUCAGUGAUCUUCUUUAGUGGAAAAAUAUUGUUCUUAGUAUGUCAUAUAAUUAAAAAGGAAUUUUUACGGCAGUGACUUACUUUUUAUUAGAAAUUGUUCUUUAGUUUUGUCUUCUAGGUACAUUUAAGUUUUAACCCCAGGUUGAACUUGGUAGUAACGUGUUAUAAUGUACUACCCUUUGGUAGAAGAUGAUGUCUUUAUUUCUUAUCGUAUAGAUAGUUUUGCUUUCUGUUUAACUCUGGACCGUAUGUAGAAUUUACUUUUGGGGUCAUGUCUAGUUUAUGUGUACUCGUAGGAUACAUUUUUUGGGUAGAUUGCAAAACCCUGAAGGACGAACAAUUUAUAAGCAUCACUGUUAUAGUAGCAACUGAAGGAUACAAUUAAUAUUGUUAGAAGGAAAAUGGGAAGACCAAAUUAAGAAGUACAAGAAACAGAUUGGUUCGGUGAAAGAUAUUUUACCAGCACACACACAUAUAGAAUUAAAGAUAUUUUAGACGAAAUAUUUUUCUGUACGUAGGUAAGAGAAGCACAAGAGGUAAUGUGGAUAUGAAAGUGAAAUCCAGUGCAGAGAACAACUUUGUAACAACUGUUGCUGAAAUACCCAAAAAAGGUGAUUUUCAGCCUACUAUACCUAGCAAGGAACCUGGGAGACAUGUGUAUAAGAGAAGUAAAGUUCAUCAGCAGAAUGGUGUGCAAGUCAAAACUCAUGACAGUGAAUGACACUAUCAAGGUAUGUGCUGGAACUUAUUUCAUAUUAGAUAUGUCAAGUAAUUAUUUAGCUGAAGACCAUUCUUUGCAUGUGAUUUUUUAUGCGCUUUUUAAUUGCUGGAAGAUGUUGAGGAAAAAUAUAUCUGUAACUACUAUAAUAGUCUAUUUGCUCCAGUUUAUUUUGUGGCAGUUAGAUUAACCAUUAUCAAUAAUUCAUUUCAUGAUUUUCAGCUUUUCUAUUUGUAUUUUACGGCUAUGAAAAUUCUACUACUGCUAUUGUAUUGGUAACAGAAAGUUUUGUUAUUUUUUGAAGUAGUUCUGUCUGUAAACAGACAAGAUGAUUCCGAAACUCCUCCAUUUAAUCAAGAGAAUGCAAUGGAGUCCGCUCCACUUCAGAAAAAGGAUGGUCCGGGUAAGCUCAUUGACUGAACUAUAAUUGUGAUAUUAUGAUCUGGAAUCUUGUUAUGUUAUCCAUGAAAUUUACCUGUUAAAAAUCUCAAUCAACAUGCUGCAUCAAUUGAUAUAGGUGGUGGAGUUGGAACCCCUGCCAUUGUAGGCAUUGAUGCUAUGGAGAACGAACAGAGUUUGCCAUUUGUUAAGAAUCCUCUACUUUGUGAAGAUAUCCAUUCUAUGGAAACCUAUAAGAAAAUGACACAGAAGCCACACUUCGCUCCACUGUACGAACAUAUAGAAGAAGAACGUGAAGGCUUGGCAGUAGUGUUGGAAACGUGAUGGGU